rnacentral:rRNA from 1 species
UACGUAGGGUGCGAGCGUUGCCCGGAUUUAUUGGGCGUAAAGGGCUCGUAGGCGGUUUGUCGCGUCGGGUGUGAAAACACGGGGCUUAACCCCGUGCCUGCUUCCGAUACGGGCAGACUAGAGGUAUGCAGGGGAGAACGGAAUUCCUGGUGUAGCGGUGAAAUGCGCAGAUAUCAGGAGGAACACCGGUGGCGAAGGCGGUUCUCUGGGCAUUACCUGACGCUGAGGAGCGAAAGUGUGGGGAGCGAACAGG